CCUACGGGGGGCAGCAGUGGGGAAUAUUGCGCAAUGGGCGAAAGCCUGACGCAGCGACGCCGCGUGAGGGAUGAAGGUCUUCGGAUCGUAAACCUCUGUCAGCAGGGAAGAACGGUCACUGUGCUAAUCAGCAGUGAAUUGACGGUACCUGCAAAGGAAGCACCGGCUAACUCCGUGCCAGCAGCCGCGGUAAUACGGAGGGUGCGAGCGUUAAUCGGAAUUACUGGGCGUAAAGCGCUCGUAGGCGGUAUGUCAAGUCAAGGGUGAAAUCCCCGCGCUCAACGUGGGAACUGCCUUUGAAACUGGCAAACUGGAGUGUGUGAGAGGAUAGUGGAAUUCCAGGUGUAGGAGUGAAAUGCGUAGAGAUCUGGAGGAACAGCAGUGGCGAAGGCGACUAUCUGGCACAUAACUGACGCUGAGGAGCGAAAGCGUGGGUAGCAAACAGGAUUAGAUACCCUUGUAGUC
rnacentral:rRNA from 1 species